rnacentral:tRNA from 1 species
AUUUAUCUAAUAUAAUUAGUAUAUUUGACUUCCAAUCAAAAAGUUUGAUUUUAAACAAGAUAAGUA